rnacentral:tRNA from 1 species
AAAAUAGCUAGUUAAUCUAUAACAUGGAGUUGUCAACCCCAAAUUACCUACGAGGUGUUAUUUC